AGCCUGAUCAGCAUGCCGCGUGCAGGAUGAAGGCCUUCGGGUUGUAAACUGCUUUUGUACGGAACGAAAAGGCGCCUACUAAUACUGGGUGUUGAUGACGGUACCGUAAGAAUAAGCACCGGCUAACUACGUGCCAGCAGCCGCGGUAAUACGUAGGGUGCGAGCGUUAAUCGGAAUUACUGGGCGUAAAGCGUGCGCAGGCGGUGUUGUAAGACAGUUGUGAAAUCCCCGGGCUCAACCUGGGAACUGCAUCUGUGACUGCAAUGCUGGAGUGCGGCAGAGGGGGAUGGAAUUCCGCGUGUAGCAGUGAAAUGCGUAGAUAUGCGGAGGAACACCGAUGGCGAAGGCAAUCCCCUGGGCCUGCACUGACGCUCAUGCACGAAAGCGUGGGGAGCAAACAGGAUUAGAUACCCUGGUAGUCCACGCCCUAAACGAUGUCAACUGGUUGUUGGGUCUUUACUGACUCAGUAACGAAGCUAACGCGUGAAGUUGACCGCCUGGGGAGUACGGCCGCAAGGUUGAAACUCAAAGAAAUUUGACGGAGC
rnacentral:rRNA from 1 species